CUCGUAGGCGGUUCGUCGCGUCCGGUGUGAAAGUCCAUCGCUUAACGGUGGAUCCGCGCCGGGUACGGGCGGGCUUGAGUGCGGUAGGGGAGACUGGAAUUCCCGGUGUAACGGUGGAAUGUGUAGAUAUCGGGAAGAACACCAAUGGCGAAGGCAGGUCUCUGGGCCGUUACUGACGCUGAGGAGCGAAAGCGUGGGGAGGCGAACA
rnacentral:rRNA from 1 species